GUUUUACUUUCUUCAUUUUCACUUAUCAGAACUUUCUUAGCCUCUUCUUCUUAGGCUGACCCUCAUAUCAGAUAAGCUCUUGAGGAAACGUUGAAAUUUUUAAAAAUUUUAAUUGAUCAAGCACAGAAUGUUUCUGACUUCACUUACUGACGUAGCAGUGAGCUCAAGCCAGCUCCUCUGCCAAGACAGCCAGCCCUUCCUGCCCCCUCUUGUUCACCUGGCAGAUGCGCAUCCUUUCAUUCGUCAAGACACACCUGGAAUAUGUAUGACUUCAUCGAUGGCUUCACCCCAAUCCCACAAAUAACUGAGCAUCCACAGCCCCGACCUAGCCCAGCCCUGGGCCGACUGUCAUGUUUUAUUGUUCCUGUGACUGUAAACCCCUUGAGGACAGCAGCCCUGUCUUGAGUCACCUUGGAGCUCCUCCUGGGUGUUCUCUACUGGAACUGUGCUAGGUGUUGGUGAUGGGUGUGAGGAGGGAGCAACUUCCAGGUGAGGUAGAAGAUGUCUCAAAUGCAAUGAAGAGAUUGCUUGCCUUGCAAGCUUGAGGGCCUGAAUUUGAUCCCCAAGAAAUCCACAUAAAGAAAAUCUAACCUUAGUGGACAAUGCUUGCUGAAGAGGCAGAAAAAAAGAUGGCUCGUAGGACUCGCUGACAAGCCAGACAAACUUGCUAGAAUAUUUUCAUCACCCACAAAAGAAAUCCUGGAGCUGGUGAGAUGGCUUUGCAGGUGAGAGGCACUUGCUGCAGAGACUGACAACCUGAGUUCAAGCCCCAGGACCCCCGUGAUAGAAGGAGAGAACCACUUCCCAGGGGUAGUCAGUCCUACCGACACCAACAGAGCACCACGCCACUGGGUGCACAUGUGCACACAUACACAAAUAAAUAAAUAAGAAAAAUCUUGAGCCGGGCGUGGUGGUGCACACCUUUAAUCCCAGCACUUGGGAGGCAGAGGCAGGCGGGUUUCUGAGUUCGAGGCCAGC
rnacentral:lncRNA from 1 species